GCGAACGCUGGCGGCAGGCCUAACACAUGCAAGUCGAGCGCCCGUAGCAAUACGUCAGCGGCAGACGGGAGAGUAACACGUGGGAACGUACCCUUCAGUUCGGAAUAACCCAGGGAAACUUGGGCUAAUACCGAAUACGUCCGAACGGAGAAAGAUUUAUCGCUGAAGGAUCGGCCCGCGUCCGAUUAGCUAGUUGGUGAGGUAACGGCUCACCAAGGCGACGAUCAGUAGCUGGUCUGAGAGGAUGAUCAGCCUCACUGGGACUGAGACACGGCCCAGACUCCUACGGGAGGCAGCAGUGGGGAAUAUUGGACAAUGGGCGCAAGCCUGAUCCAGCCAUGCCGCGUGGAUGAUGAAGGCCCUAGGGUUGUAAAGCCCUUUCGGCGGGGAAGAUAAUGACGGUACCCGCAGAAGAAGCCCCGGCUAACUUCGU
rnacentral:rRNA from 1 species